CGUGGAUAUGCAAGCAAAGUGCCCUUAGACCCCUUUGCAGGCCUGAGCGAGACACCUGGAGCUUCGGCCUUGUGCCUAGCAUUUGCCACAACCGAGAAGAACGCCAUGGUGUGUCAACUGCAUAAGGAUUGGUUCAGACUGAACACCUGUGCUCAGAGUACCAAAAGGAAUAGAGAAAGGAGUCUCCAGGCUGGAAUCUCGGAAUGGGAAAAUGACCAGUAUCGCUUGAGAGCCGGAGACUUGCUGCAUUAGGCAAUGGAGAACAGCUGGAUGCUUGGGAAAAUAAGUCCUGUUUUCACUCGCAGUGGCUCUAUAAAUCCACACAGGCUAGGAAUGGAGAAAGAAGCGCCUUUGUUUUUCAAUAAAUGGUCAGGGCACUCAUACCCAAAUUAGGAGUCCCAUUCAGAGACACUAGUAUUCUUGGCUUUAAAUAAGAGCCCUGUGUGCAAAUUUGGACUAAGUUCUAACCUCUCUGAGUCCUAAUUUCCUAAUACGUAAAAAGAAAUAGACACGAGGCUUUCUUGCCUUUACUUCCUGCGUGAAUGAAAUAAAAUUCUGUUCGAUGCUUUCCCGUGGUUUAUCAGCCAGUCAGUAUAAAUUCUCCAUUCUUCUGAGUUAUCCAGAGAAACUCUAAAGCGCUUGGCUGAACAAAAGAGUAUGGUUAUGAUUUGAAACGUUUAUAAACUAAACUCACGGUUUGACUUUUGUCUGACUCAGUGGAGGCUGCUGGGGAAAAG
rnacentral:lncRNA from 1 species